rnacentral:hammerhead_ribozyme from 1 species
AUCCAUCAGACAAGUCCCAAAUAGGACGGAAUGAGCAUCAUAGAU